ensembl:lncRNA
AGAAGACAGCGCGCUAGCGUAUCUAGUCUAUGUAUAUCUAUGGUCGGCAUGUCUGGUAGCAUCUCUGGCUGCUGUUGAUCUUGUUUUUGGAGUAAAACACGGUGGAAGCUGAAUUAGUGAGGAUGACUCCUGCUCCUGUCAUCUCUAAGCUCCUCACACAUCUUUACCUGCACAUGAGGAAAAUCACUCCUGUAGAAUGCAGAUGUUCAGAGGGAGAUGAUGCCACAUCUGGUCCAGCUGAUGGAAGGUCUUGAAGUUCUCUGACUGGCCUCGACUGAAGAUGGUCGUCUCACUGGAUUUAAGAUACACAAUGAGGGACGUCUGCAGAGACUGAGAAAGAGUCUCACCACAUCCUGACAUGAGGAAAAAGACUUUAUUGAAGACUACAAUGAGAAAAACUAUCAGACAGCAGACGGCAUGCAUUCAAGUCUGUAGCUGCUGAAUUCAUGGAUGAAUCAUCUGGCACUAGAGAGGAAGACCAUCAAACAUCCACGUCAGCUGAUGGAGGUCCAAGAGUCUCACCCAACAAACAACCUACAGAGUGAAGACCUCGAAUCUGAUUGGACGGCCUCCUAUUCAGCCACAUGUGUGAACAAAUGCCUCUAAGUUGAUUUGUUUUCUAAAAUAAAUCUAGUUUGAGUCCUAAUCUAUGCCC